UCCCUAAAUCUCUCUCUCACUUCAUUGCCUCAAUGGCUCCCUCCACUCUCUCUCUCUCUCUCUCUCUCUCUCUCUCUCUCUCUCUCUCUCUCUGUGUGUGUGUGUCUCUCUCUCUCUUUCUCCAAUCUCUCUACCUUGCUGCUGUUGCUUGCUAUUCUUCUGUCAUGGCAUUGUCAUCCCAGGUAAAUUCCUUGUUCUUUCUAAUUUUUCAGAAAUUUAUUAGUAUUUUAUUGGUUAUUCUUAAUUUAGAUUAAUGACUCUUGUUUGUUGUUUUUUGAUUCUUGAAUCCGUAGACUUUAAUAAUGUAAAUUAUUGAGUUUUCUACUGCAUUUGCUUUGAUAAAUUUAUGAAAAAUAAUUGCUAAUUUUUUUUAGAAUUGAGAUACUUUUGACUCGAUCUUUGGUGAUAAUUGCUCAUAUUUUAUCCCCUUCCGCUGCAUAAGUUACAAUGAUUAAUAUUGUGUAGGAAGGAAAAAAAUUCCAAUCUCUUACUAUCCAAAUAAAAUAAAAUAUAAUAUAAAUCGCUAGUACGUGUGCGUUUUCAACAUAUCGUUAGCGUGAGUUUCGACGAUAGUUUAGUUCCUAUUUAGAUUUUUUUUAUGCAUCCGUUUGACAUUACAUUUGGAUUCAAUAAAUUUCGAUGAACCCUUUCGAUGAAAUUUUUACUGUUCAAUUCUUUAUAAUAUUGAACACCCUUGUUCGGAAUUCUGGAUCCGCCACUACGAUUGAGUUUGAGUUUGGGAGUUUAAUUUUGGAGACGAAUCUUUGACGACUCGACCCGACGCCCCAGUCUGCUGCCCCGAAAGAGAAUUCCAUUUUGAAACUCAACGACGUCGCUGCUGCAUAGAGACUGCACAUCCUCAUUCUUCGGUUUUCAUAUCGUUUAGACAUAAACAUAGAAGAGAAAAUCUUCUGGGAACUGAGCAGAGACUCUUGAAACGGUCCUUUCUGCUUCACUUAUUUGCUAUAUGACUUACUAUUCUAAUUUUUAUUAUGUGAUUGACUGUUAGGAUCUAAUUCUAUUAUAAAUCACAGUCAAGUCUUUUAAUUAUGUAUUUUGUUUUAUAGUUACAUAUAGUUGAAACUCUUUAGAAUCAUGAAUGUGCAUCAAAUACUAGUUGUUGAGCCUGCUAAAGUAUUACAAAAGAAAUAUUAGUUUUUAAAAUUUAUUUCUUCAUUCUAUCGAUUUUAGAUUAAAAACUCCACCUUGGUGAUUUUUUUAAAAGGCUAUAAAGCUAGUAGUAUUUCUAACACACAGAAGUUGUCAUCUAUGUUUUCCUUUCAGUGUUGCAAACAUUUAAGUCGAGUUUGUUAUCUGUACUUCCUUUAGAAACAUUUUCUGAACUAACUUGCCUAAUGUUUCAACAUGAUCCACUUGUAGGUAGAAAGUAGUAUUUUCAAUGAUACAAGCAUCAAUUUUCUUAUAAGACAAAGAGAAUUCUCUUCAACAUAAUUUUUGGUGUGAACCUGAUUUUCUUUUAAAAAGGUUCUCCAUAUUUAUACUUAGUCCUAAUUAACUUUAAUCCGGUCGGUUAAUAAUUUUCUUUAAAUUAAUUGAGCCUUUAUUUUACUCAAACCCGGAAUAGUUAAAUUAUUAUAUUCUAGUUCAACCCGUUUAAAAUGGGGUACAACAAUGUAUCUUUGGUCACAAGUCUUUGAUCAAUCAAGUAUCAAGAAUUGAUAUAUUCCAUACAUUUAAUGUUUCUUUACAUGUACCUAACACUCGAGCGAUAUUGUUGUUUGAAGUUAAAUCGCAACACACAACCGAGUCAACACAUGAAGAAUGAGCAGAGUCGUCACCCCAAGUGGGGCCAGGUACGUUAAGGGACAUGAUGACAACGACAGGCUAUAGUUGACUUCUUGUAUGAAUAAUACAUACAACUUUAUUAAAUAAAGCAAUUCGUUACUCCCUCACUUUCUAAUUUUUGUAUCACUUUUUUAAAUAUUUCAAAACUUGACAACUUUUACUAUUACCUUAAAGUUUCGUCAUGCUUUUACAAUUCAUACAAUUCAAACAUCAAAACACUUUUAGCUUCACACAACUUUAGAAUGAUCAAACCUUUUAUUUAAUAAUCUCUUACGCAUUUCCCCUCUCACGACCCCAAUUUUCCUCUGUAGGAUGUCGUGAUGACACCUAAUUUCUAAGAUUAGGUAAGCCUAACAAUUUGCGGAAUAACUGAAUAUAAAACUGAACUCAAAUCUCAACACAUGAAAUAUGAAUAGAACCUGCGAUUCAAAUAAUUACAACUCCCAAAACCCGGUAGAAAUAAGUCACAAAUUUAUAAAAGAAAAUAUCAAGUGUCUCUAUACAUCAGAGUCUAAAGAAAAUAAGGAAAAGCAAUAUAGUAAGGAUGGGAGGGCUCCGAGGACUGUGGACGCUGGCAGAUAUACCUUGAAGUCUCCACGUACGGUCCAGCUCACUGGUAUCUGACCUGGUAGGAAGAACCUGGAUCUGCACAACAAGAUAUGCGGAAGUGUAGUAUGAGUACACCACAACGGUACCUAGUAAGUGUCAAGCCUAACCUCAGUAGAGUAGUGACGAGGUCAGAUCAUGGCCCUACUGGAAUAAAAGGUAAUGAGGCAUAGAAUAUAAUAAUACAAUGGAGUGACUGAGAAAUGAACAACGAGAAAUUUCAGAAAGGUAACAACACAGCAAAUAGAGAAAAAAACAGUGACGCUCCUGAGGUAUCGUCUCGUAGUCCCAAAUGUAAAUACACAAUAUGGGGAUCUCUCGAGGUACCGCCUUGUAGUCCUAAAAGUAAAUAUGCAAUGGGGGAUCUCCCAAGGUACCGCCUCGUAGUCCCAAAAGUAAAUAUGCAACAGGGGAUCUCCCGAGGUACCGCCUCGUAGUCCCAAAAGUAAAUACACAACUCAUAACCUAUGGUACAACGAACUUACAUCAAGGAAUCAUACAGUUAAAGACUGAAUACAAGAUCACGGAAGCAAGUAAUUCAACUAAGCAUGUUGCACAAAUUUAAAGUAAAGGUUAAGACACGUAGACAUGCGAUACUAGGCUAAACAUGACAGUUACACAUGCUAAGGCAACUAAGUUAUGGAAAUUAAAAGAAGACUACUCAGCAAGAACUGAAAUUUCCACAAUUAGCCGGUGUACACACUCGUCACCUUGCGUACACGACACUCACAUAUCACAAAUUGUUACAACAGUACCAAAUCCUAAGAGGAUUUUUCCCACACAAGGUUAGAUAAGUCACUUACCUCGAAUCUCGCUCAAUCUAUCGAUAAGGAUACUUUCCCUUUGCUUUUCCACUCCAAAUGGCCCAAAUCUAGCCAAAAUCAAUUACAUACCAUGAAUACAACUAUAAGAAACUAAUUUAAAUAAUAAAUCUACGACUUUAGCAAAGAAUCAAAAAUCGCCUCAAAAGGUCGACCUGGGCCCACGCCGCAGAAUCAGGUAAAAGUCACAAAAUACGAACACCCAUACCAAAAUUACUCAAAUUUGACACAAAAUUCUCGAUCAGAACCCCAAAAUUCGGCCUAAGGAUUUGUUUUCCACCCUUUUCACAGCCCAAAUCCUUAAUUAAUGGAAGAAUAAAUGAUAUCUUAGUGGAAAUUAAUAAAAAAAUAAGUCAAGAAUCCUUACCCAAAUGUUUCCUCUGAAAACCCCUCAAAUUUUUGCCUCAAUCCGAGCCCUAUAUCACAAAUUAUGAAGAAAAGGGCAAACCCUCUAUUUAAUAUAAUCCGCCUAGGCUUUUCGCAUCUGCGGCCAAUUCACCGCACCUGCAGAACCGCUUUUGCGGUAAAAACCUUUGCUUUCUUUUGUGCUUUUAAGCUAUUUUAUGGUAUAUCGAGAUAGUUGGUUCGGGUCCGGAGUGGUUUCUUUAGACACUUAGUCUCUAAAGUAGAAGCUUAAGUUGGAAAAGUCAAUCGGAUAUUGACUUAUGUGUAAACGAUCUUGGAUUUGAAUUUUGACGGUUCUGUUAGCUCCGUUAGAUGAUUUUGGACUUAGGAGUGCGUCUGAAAGUUGGAGUAGGUUUGUGGUGUCAUUUGAGACGUGUAUGUAAAAUUUGAGGUCAUUCGGACGUGGUUUGGUAGGUUUCGGCGUCGUUUGCAGAAUUUGGGAAGUUAGAAGUUCUUAGACUUGAAUCCGAGGGUAAUUUGGUGUUUUGAUGUUAUUUUGAGUGAUUUGAUGAUUUUUCAAAGUUUGUAUGUUGAUAUAUGACUUGUUGGUAUGUUUGGUUGAGGUCUUGAGAGGCUCGGGGUGAGUCCGGGUGGUUAACGGAUUGUUUGAAGUUGGAAAAAUGCAGUUGAAGCUGCUACUACUGGUAUUUCCGCACCUGCGAAGGGGGAGCCGUAGGUGCGAGGUCGUUGGUGCACUUGGUGAGCCGCAGAUGCGGACAUAGAGGACCUGGUCUGGAACCGCAGGUGCGUAAGAUUGGUCGCAUCUGCGAGCCCGUAGAUGCGAGGCUGAGGCGUAGAUGCAGAAGUGAGGAGGACUGGCAGUGGCCGCAAGUGCGAGGUCUUUUGCGCACCUACGAGGUUGCAGAAGCAGAUAUGGAACAUAGGUGCGAGAUAUGUGCGCAAAAAUGGCUCCGAAGGUGCGCAUUAUUUUAGCCACAGGUGCGAAAACCUGGGCAGAACCUAUAGAUAGAAGACUUCGCGAAUUUUUGUUCAUUCCCACCAUUUUCAAGUAGGAACUUGGAGUUUUGGAGUGAUGUUUGAAGGGGAUUCAAGGAUAUUCACUGAGGUAAGUUGCUUGAGCUCUAUUAUCAUUAGCUAUGGUGUUUUUUCGUUAAUGUUCCACCUAAUUAGUAGAAUUUUUGAAGUGAAAUAAGGGGUUAGGGCUUGGGAUUUUUGAGGAUUUGAGGGACCAAAUGAUGUCGGAUUUUGAUAAAUUUAGUAUGGGUAGACUCGUGAGUGAAUAGGCUUUCGGGUUUUAUGACUUUUGUCAGAUUUCGAGAUGUGGGCCCGGGGGGGGUGAGUGAAUUUCGGAAUUUGGCCUAUAAAUUGGUAUUUUCCUUGUGGGAUUUGUUCCUUUAGCUCAUAUUGAUCGUAUUUUAUUGCUUGUGGCUAGAUUCAGGUCAUUUGGAGGACGGUUCAAGAGGAAACGACAUUUCAGAGUAGGAGUUCUACGCGGUUGAAGUAACUAACAGUUUUAAAUCUGGUCUUGAGGGUAUGAAACCCAGAGUUUGGUAUAAUGUGAUUGUUUGGAGGUGGCACUCAUGCUAGGUGACGGGCGUGUGGGUGUACUCCAUGAGGGAUUGAGACUUGGUCCUUACCGGGAGACUAUGAAUUCUAAUAGCCUUUUUUUUGUGUUUAUAUGAAUUCCUGUCUACUAGAACUUGAUUGCCUUUCAUGUUAGAGAUCAUGCUUAGGCUAUAUUCCUGCUCAUGGUAGUUAUAUCCUAUCAUAGUGAUUCUUGUAGAUGUUUACCUCAGUCUCUGUUAUUUUUCCCUGAUGAUAUACUGUAACACUUUGAUUUGGGCUAUUUUCCCUUUCUUUAUUGAAAGCUAUGAGACUAGAGAGGUUCAUGACUGAGUAAGGCUGAAGGCCUGGUUGUGAUGUAUUGUUCUAUGGCACGGUUGUUGUCCGUGCAACACUUGAGUUGUCCAUGCAGAUCCUUAUAUUUAUACUAGGGCACGUGAGUUGUCCGUGCAGCACGUGAGUUGUCUGUGCGGAUCCAGAUAUUUAUACUAUAGCACGUGAGUUGUCCGUGCAGCACGUGAGUUGUCCGUGCAGAUUAUAGCGCUUAGGCUGCAGGAGCCUCUUAUGAGUCUGAACACCCCUAGUGAGCUCAAGUACCUAUUGAGCGUGCAUUGAGGGCUGGGAGUUGAGUGCCGAGUUGUUGAGGGUUUGAGUGACUGUUGCCCUGAGAGGUUGUACUUGCUUUUCAAUUGUUGAUGCACUUAGUUCUAUCUAUCAUUGUUGUGAAAUUUCUGAAAGUUUCUAUAUCCGGAGUACCUACACUUUAACUGUAUAAAACUGAUUUGACUUAAAUUGCGGAUUUGAAAAUAUGUCUAUUCUUUGCUGGAAUUAUUGAAAAUGAACUGUACUGUAUAGCUCGUCACUGCUUCUCAGUUCCUUAUUUAUUUCUGUUACUUACUGAGUUGGUUGUACUCAUGCUACACCCUACACUUCAUGUGUAUAUCCAGGUGGGUUUGAUUACGGAGGUCAUUGAGUUCGGGCGCGAUCGAGUACCGGAGACUACGAGGUAGCCGACGGUGUCCGCAGGACCUUGUCUCUCUUUCUAUAUUUCUUUCUGUCUUGUAUUGAUACUUAGACACUGGUUGUAUUAGUUUGGUUGUCUAGAUGCUCAUGACUUAGUGACACCCCGAUGUUUGGGGCUAGAUUCCACAUUUUGAUUCUAUAUUGAGUUCAACUUUGGUUUUUAUGAAAAAUUUCAGAUAUGAAAAAGUUUUAAACUACCGUUUCUAUUGAAUUACUGGAGUAUUUUGGGAACGUCGGCUUGCCUAGUACCAUCGAUAGGCUCCAUCACGACAUGUUAGGUUUUGGGUCGUGACAAGUUGGUAUCAGAGCUCUAGGUUACAUAGGUCUCACGAGUCAUGAGCAAGUUUAGUAGAGUCCGGCAGAUCGGUACAAAGACGUCUGUACUUAUCAUCGAGAGGCUGUAGAACCUUUAGAAAAAUUCCACAUUCUUGAAUUCUUAUCGUGCGAAUCUGUUGAUUCUGGUACAUAAACAUUUGUUGUUUCAUUCUCUCACACAUGGUGAGGAGUCGUACUACCGGGCAGGACAGACAGCCACCAGUACCACCAGCCAGGGCUGCGAGAGGCCGAAGCCGCGGUAGAGGUCGCGGUAGGGGCAGAGGUGCAACCCGCACAACAGCUGGGGCAGUACCUGUAGAUCCACCAGUUGUCACAUAUCAGGACCACAUUCCAGUUGUUGAUGCACCAGCUCAGGCACCACCUGUGCCUAUUAUGAUUACAACCUCUACGAGGCCCUAGCUUAGAUUCUGACAGCAUGUACCGGCCUUGCUCAGGCGGUCUCUAUCUCGACGGCCGCAACCACUUCUCAGGCCGGGGGAGGCACUCAGACUCCCGCCGCUCGCAUACCCGAGAAGAUUGUUCAGGUACUCCAGACACCUGAGGCACCACCAGCCCAGUCGGUUGUAGCUGCUCAAGAUAUGUGGUUCCUGCUAGGCCUGAGGCUGAUCAGCGUAGGUUGGAGAGGUUUGGGAGGCUCCAGCCUCCACCUUUCAGUGGCAUAGAGAGAGAGGAUGCCCAGGACUUCUUGUACAGGUGUGAUAGGAUACUCUGUACAACUGGUAUUCUGGAGACUUGUGGGGUCACAUUCACUACUUUUCAGUUUUCUGGGGCUGCACUCAGAUAGUGGGAGACUUACGAAAGGCGUAGGCCUGUUGGCGCAACACCCCUUACUUGGCAGCAGUUUUGCGUUGUCUUUUUGGAGAAGUUCGUGCCUCAGUCCCGCAGAGAGGAGAUGCACAGACAGUUUCAGCAGCUUCGCCAGGGUGAUAUGUCUGUGAUGCAGUAUGAGAUGUAAUUCUAGGAGUUGGACCGUCAUGCUAUCUAGUUGGUUCCCACAGACAGGGAGAGGAUGAUGAGGUUUAUAGAUGGUCUCACUUUUCAUCUACGGUUGCUUAUGACCAGAGAGAAGGUGUCUGGUGCUACCUUUGAUGAGGUUGUCAAUAUUGCUCAGCAGAUUGAGAUGGUUCACGGUUAGGAGAGGGUUGAGAGGGAGGCCAAGAGGCCUCGUGGUCAGGGUGGAUUCAGCGGUGCUCCUUCUGGGGGUCGGUUCCAGCACGGUAGAGGUUGUCAUUUCAGACACGCUCAGACAACUCGGCCAUUUCACCAUAGUUCAUCAUCUGGCCAUGGUUCUCAUAUUCAUCAGCAGGGCCAGUCAUCAUUCAGUGCACUACCAGCGCAGAGUUCUCAUCAUUCCCCGUCCGCUCAGAUAUCCCCGGGUAGUUCUUUUGGGCAUCAGGAGCAGCAAUUUCGUCAGAGGAGGGGUUGUUUCGAGUGCGGAGAUUUUGGUCACAUUAUGAGAGAUUUCCCUAGGCUAUUGGGUGGACUCCACAGCAGAGUACUCGGCCGAUGGCACCAGCACCAGUUCCUGCACCACCCGCCCAACCAUCCAGGGGUGGAGCUCAGCCAGCUAGGGGUGGAGCUUAGUCAGCUAGGGAUCGCCCGAGAGGGGGAGGCAGAUCGGGGGUGGUCAGGCUCGUUUCUAUGCCCUCCCUUCUAGAACAGAUGCUAUUGCUUCAGAUGUUUUGAUUAUAGGUAUUGUCUCAGUUUGUCACAGAGAUGCCUCUGUAUUAUUUGACCCUUGUUCCACGUAUUCAUAUGUUUUCUCGUAUUUCACCCAUUUUCUAGAUAUGCCCCAUGAGUCUUUAGUUUCAUCUGUUCAUGUAUCUACUCCUGUGGGCGAUACUAUUAUUGCGGACCACGUAUAUCAGUUAUGUGUAGUGAUUAUUGGGGGUUUGGAGAUCCAAGUGGACCUUUUGCUACUCAGUAUGGUUGACUUUGAUAUGAUAUUGGGUAUGGAUUGGUUAUCUCCAUGUCAUGCUAUUCUAGAUUGUCACGCUAAGACCGUGAUGUUGGCGAUGAUGGGAUUUCGGAGGGUUGAGUGGAGAGGUUCUAUAGACUAUUAGGCAACCCGAAGAGCUAGUAGAUGGAGAAAAAAGGAGCUAAGAACAAAAGAAUGUCUUGUUCGAGUUUUCAGAAUAAAGUGAUAGACAUAAAUGUUAGCGGAAAAUAAGAAGAGAGUUAAUGAAACAUUAUGAGUAAGAUAUUAUACAUGGAUGACAACGGUAGAUCAAAAGAUGACAGUAUUACAAAGUCUAUAGUCAAGUAAAGGAAAAGAUGAGAGGUGACAUGCCUUGAGACAACAAAAAAGUAUAGGCCAUAAAGUCAUAUCCUCAUUUCAAAAAAACAAAGUUUGACUCCAACGCGACUACCAGAAUGAAAUGUAAGACCCCAUAGUAAUAGAAAUCAGUAUGGACUGAUGAACAAGGUAAACUAAACAUGAACUGGGGACUGAGUAAUAGUCGGCAUCAUGAGAAUUUCAGAGAUUGCGUCCCGACGAUGAUAGAAUGGGCGAUAGAAGGAUUCCCUUUAAAGUCCAUUCAGGAAGAUGCUUCCCUAAAGCAAGCAAGGUGAGCAAAGUUAAGCUUAAGGGACUGUAUGUACCAGUUAUACUAAGUGUCACCCUCGCGAGUAGGGCAAUUUGUUAUCCUUGGUACAGAAAGAUUAACGCGAGGCGAGUAAGGAUCAUCGAUGAUGUGGAAAGACGCCAAAGAUGAAGAGGUAGACCAUCUAUAGGUAGAUCCUCGUGGCUUCGGCUCUUAGUACUCCCUUAAAGGGGGGAAUAUGGAGUGAUGUUGCAUUAAAUCGGAAUGAAGUGGUUCUAGUGAUUAUGGAAUGGUAAAGGAAGAAUGCGAUAAAAAAAAAGGGAUGAGAUGGCACUUAUCCAAAUCCUACAGAUAUGCUACGAUACCAGACUAUUGUGCAAGCACGGCGUCAAGGAGAGGAGUAAGGGUUCCUGCCAGAGCUGUUAUUAAUAAAUAAGGAGCCAGUGCGAGACGUAAGUUAAGGCAAAGAAAAUAUCCCAAGAAAGAUUACACGGAAUAUUGAGAUGUGAAUGGGCCAACGAGUAGUUAGUAAUUGAUCAGGAAGAGCCUAGUUAUGGCUAAACAGGAGAUUACAGACGAGUUAGCAGAUCGUGUAAGAUAAACAUAGUAAAACCCAAUAUAGUGAAUUCAGCCUCGCAGUUAUGACAUUGUGAUCAUUGGGAAAUAUUUAGAUAGGAGUUGGGGUAGUUAAAGGUACCAUAUGAGUGUUACGGAGAUAAAAGAAAGUGCCACCGGGAAGUCAGUCAAAAUAUCUAGUUAAAUAGCAACCCUACAAGCAAAAGGGGGUGGAAGUAAGUAACUAUGGAUAAUUAUAGGCAAGGAAGGACAUCAAAAAGGUCAGUCAAGUAUACAAUGUAAUAAGCUCACAGCUUUACAAGAGUCAGAGGAUCCUCCCUAAAUACUACAAUGAAAGACUAGUUGAGGAAGUAAGGAAGAAGGCUUCAACCUAAGCUAAGUAACGUAGGGAGGAAAUGGUUGUGUAACAAUAGUCUUACUACAAAAUUGUAUGCACUCCAAAAGAAAGCAGCACCUACCAUGGCUAAUGAGCGGGGAGUAAAACCAAAAGUACUAUUCGAGACCAUAUGAGUUGCACAAAAAACAAAUUAGCAUGCGUGAAAACUCAGAUAAGCUAAGUAUGCACGCAACAAGGGGCAAAAAGACCAGGAAAAGCAAUUGCUUACAUUUGAAGAAAGUUGAAAUGAAAAGAAAGAAAUUAUUCGAUUAAUAAUCAGCCGUAAAAGACUCUGGUAUGAGUUAAAAGAGUCCAGGUCAUAGACAAAGGACUGAAUCAUUAAAAGAUUGUAUCAUGGAUAUUCCAUAACGCCCAUGAAAGGCUAAAGUAAUAGCUAAUACCAGGACCCGCAGAUCGGAAGAUAGUUUAAGACUACAUAAAAGUUGAUUAGAAGAAAGAGGAAACUAAAGAGUUACAUCAACGAAAUAAAUCAAGAAUCUAAUUAUUGGACCAAGAAAAUUAUAGGAAUCGUGGUUGAGAACAUUGCAGGAUCACUCUUAAUAUCAAAGGUACAAGAGAGAAUAUAAAACAACCAUAUUCUGCAAUGGCCAUACGAUAAAGCCACUUGGAAAAGUACCAGCCUCAUAAGAAGUCUGUACGAAGCUCCCACCGGGUUGUGUAUGCACCAAAGGUGCAAGUAUUAUAAUAGAGCCUCAAGUUUUGGAUGUGAAUUACACUUAUGUGGAAGGGAGGUUAUGAAAAAGAUAGAAGAUAUGAGGCAAGAUUUUAAGGUAAGUAAAGUAAAGGUGGACAACGUACGAGAUGCUCAAAAGAAGAAGGUUGUGAAUAGUUCAUACUUCAGAUAAAAGGCUAGAAGUGUUGGGAUUCAGUAUUCUGGAGUGAUAGCAGCAUCGUCAGUAGCAUAUCCUCCAGCCUAUGGUUUCUAGGUAUCAAGAGGUCUAGUUAAGAGAGUAAAAAGAGAGUUUGAGACGAUGUGAUGUUUCGCUUGAAGUUUCAUAAUAACAUAAGGAAAUCUAUGGUGCAAGCAAGUUGAAGAAAAGUUGCGAGUAGUAUACAUGACUAUGUGUAGGUCACAAGCUAAAGUAUGGUAAAGUGAUAAGGUUUUAGGAAAACAUGAGUAAGGAUGAGAAUGGGCGAGUGAGAAGGUGAUGAUAAUGGAUAUGUCCUCAAGAUUAAGCCCGUGAAAACAAGAAAGCUGAUGGUUUCUCUAAGUUAUUGAAAGCUCAGUAUUGCUUGAAUGAACUCAAACGAGUUUAAGACUAGUAGCAUUUAAUGGACAUGGAAUACUACCCUGGUAGUAGAAUGAAGGUUUAAUUAUGAUAGAUGAAGGAUGACGUUUGGGCCUUCGAUUGAGUAAUGAUUUCAUGAAUUGUACAGGGUUAAAAUACCCACGUAAGGUAAAUCACAUUGGGAUGCUAUGAAAUAAGAUUAUGGAAGUAUAGUAUCGUAUCGCCCCCAGGUGGAUCAAGAAUAUCACUUCAAAUGUUCCAUGAUGAGACGUGAGCCCUAGUGGCAGAGUUACAUAAGAGAUCAAGUUAUCAGUGAUAGAUGAUAGAUCAACAUUAAGGUGAGUCAACAAUGGUUGGACAACAGUCACAAAGUAUGAGGUGAGAUUAGGCCAUCAUUCUUAAGAUGAACUGUAAUGAAGAAGCAUUAAAAGACAUAGAUUUAUAGGAUAAGCAACGAGAGUAACCUGGAGUUUGGUAGUAGACCUCAGUAAUGAUGAAUCAAAGUAAGAGUUAUGGUAGUAAAGUCAUACGGAUGGAUAAACGGAUCUAUGAAAUAAGGCAUAACAAUAUUUGUAAGUUUGACAAAGUACCGAGCGAAGAAAUUCAGUAUACCUAUGCAUGCCCAGAGGGACAUAUUGUCAAGCUUUGUAUAUGUUCACAAAGUGAGGCCUGGAGAUUGGCCAAAAACUGGAGGGAAAAGGGGAGAAGAGUCGCAUAAGCACACUUACAAGGUCAAAUUCGUACAUGCUGCGUGAUAAAAGGUAACAACAUUUACGAGAUUGGAAGAAUUCCGACCAUAAGUCAUGAUGUGAGAAAUAGGCCUAAAGGGGGAGGAUACCCUGGCCGUUGGAAUUAUUCACAGAACAAUUGCCUAGAUGGCAAGGAGAGUACUAAAGUAUCCGGAAGGCAUAACUUAUGAAAAUGAUAAGUGCAUAAGUCAACAAUCGAGGAUGAAUGUUCCAAAGGGGGGAAUGACGUUACGUCCCGCAUUUUCGUAUGUUAAAGUUUCGUCGUAAGUUAAUCGACGUAAGUUCGAAAAUGGGAUUAUUUUGAGAUUAUAAGUAUUAUGCUAUUUCAAACAAGUGAUGAAUAAAAUCGUGAAGGUGAGAGGGGAAGCAAGUCAAAGAAAAUAACUUUUCCUCCAAGUUUGACAUGUUGAGAUAAAAUACGGCCCGAGCUAAAAUAUAAGGUAUUUAUGAACAAGUGCCAUAUAAGGUACCAUAUGGCCAUAAUAGUAAGGUGUAUAAGGUGUGUUAAAAGUGAGUAGUAUUUUAAAUAAUUUGAGAUGAUUCUUAAUUAUGUGAAUAAUUGGUUAAUGGGGGAAUUAACUAGUUAAUUAUUAAUUGGUGGUUGAUUAACUAAAGUCUCUGGAUAAAGACCAAGCCAAAAACAUGGCAGCCCCAUUCCAAGAGUUGUGACUCCUAUAGUAGGAAUGAAAGGUGUCACACUUGAAGAACUUAAGUGACACUAUGCUAGACAUGUGGGGUCAACCUAAUAAUUAAGGAUAACUUUCCAAAUUCAACAUUUAUCUUCAAAUCUCUUAAGAAAAGAACACAGUAACGUUCUUUCUAAGAGAGCUAAACCAAGUUUUCCAUUUUCAUGUAACAUUAUUCCUAAACUCUUAAGAAGAGUUUCAUCAAGCUUUCUGUUACACAACAUUAAAUCUAAAUCUCUUGAGAAAGGGUUUCGACAAAGAUAAUUUUGCAAUAGCAACGUUAUUGCUUUAAGCAUUUCAUACGGAUUGUUCCCUAUUUCGACCUCGCCGUUACGUGUUUCAUCGUAAUUAAUGUGUGUUAGAGGGAUUUUUAAGAGAAUCGACUCACGUAUGUUAAGGCUAUCNNNNNNNNNNNNNNNNNNNNNNNNNUAUGGCGUUAUAUACGCACCACCACCUGAUCAGCUGAUAUACGUUGAUGAUUUGCCCACAGUGGCCGAAAUGAUAUGAUGGGAUGCCCUCAGAGGCUUAAUGAUGUUAUGAACGCAUAUACCUAUGCAUGGUAUGAUAUUUAUAUACAUAUGCAUGACAUUAUAAAAUUAAAUGAUUCACAGAGCUAUGCAAAUGUACAUGUCUGAGUCCUUUACUCCAUGUUUUUCUCAUGUCUAUUAUUUACUGAUUUUCAUUCCUUACAUACUCGGUACAUUAUUUGUAUUGACAUCCCUUUUGCCUGGGGACGCUGCGUUUCUUGCCCGCAGGUCCCGAUAGACAGGUCGAGAGUCCUCUAAGUAGGCUAUCAGAUCAGCGGAAGAUGUUGGUGCGCUCCAUUUGCUUCGGAGUUGCUUGUUUGGUUAGUAUGAUUUAGACGUGUAUUGCUUGGUAUGGCGGGAAUCUAUUCCAACCUUUAUGACAUUUAUGUACUCUUAGAGGCUUGUAGACAUAUGUCGUGUACGUGAAAGAUUGUAUGCCUUGUCGGCCUAUGUUUUGAGUUUAUAAAUGAUCAUGUUGGCCUAUUAGGCCCGUAUGUCACGCGUAUAUGAUGAUGUAAUAAGAAAGAUAUGUUACGUUGGUACUCGGAUGAGUAAGGUACUGGGUGCCCGUCGCGGCCCAUCGGUUUGGGUCGUGACAAAAGUGGUAUCAGAGCAGUUCUGUCCUAGGCAGUCUACAAGCCGUGUCCAGUAGAGUCUUGUUUAUGGGUGUGUCGUGCACCACACUUAUAAGCAGGAGGCUACAGGGCAUUUAGGACUGUCACUCUUUCUUCUUACCCUAGAUCGUGUGGUAGAGCUCAGUUGUAAGAACUCGAUUUCCUAAACUCUAUCUUAUUCAUAAUACGAUGAUGCCUACUUCUAGAAAGACGGUGGGUAAGAGAUAUAGCUGUGGAAGAGUUGAGUUAGAGAAACUCAAUUUUUGCAUCAUGCUUAUGAUGGAUAAAUAUGAGGUAUUCAGUAGAUCAUGUGUGUACUAAGAUAUGUAAACUUCUUGAUAAGGAUCCCUAAGGCAAUAAUGUCUCUCCACUCUUACAGUAAAGAGGAAUAAGAGAAUUGGAAGGUAGACACAAGUUUCAGCUAGUAAAAGAAGCAAGAUGAAAAAGGGCACGAGCUACCCAGCUAAUGAAGAUUAUCGCAGAGGAAUAUAAGCCUUUUGAGUUACCUUCAACAAUAACAGAGUUAUGUACAAUUGGCCACACCCAUUUUAUUUUUCCCCUAUGGGGGCUAACAUAAGUAGUAUAAGAGAAGGCAUGAUAUCAGGAUCUAGCUGGGGUUAGGGUAACCCAAAAUGGGUGAUGGAUUGUUAGGGUUAGCUGACAUUUCCAAAGGAUAUUGCAAAUGUGCUAAUAGAUCUCCUUGUGAGACACCCAGAGGGUGCACUCUAAAAUAGCACAACUUGAUAUGAAUACUACAAAGAUAGGAACUGGAAGCCUUGAAGGGAUAAAUAUUACCUUUGUGUAGCUCCCGUCCCUAGUAGAGAAAGAAUGUUAGCAAAGAGAAGCUAAGAACAAAAGAAUGUCUUGUUCGAGUAUUCAGAAUAAAGUGAUAGACAUAAAUGUUAGCGGGAAAUAACAAGAAAGUUAAUGAAGCAUUAUGAAUAAGAUAUAAUACAUGGAUGACAAUGGUAGAUCAAAAUAUGACAGUAUUACAAAGUCUAUAAUCAAGUAAAUGAAAAGACAAGAGGUGGCAGGCGUUGAGACAACAAAAGAGUAUAGGUCAUAAAGUCAUAUCCUUAUUUUGAAAAAAAUAAGUUUGUGACUCCAACGUGACUUCCAGAAGGAAAAGUUAGACCCCAGAGUAAUAAAAAUGAGUAUGGACUGAUGAACAAGGUAAACUAAAUAUGAACUGAGGACUGAGUAAUAGUUAGCAUCAUGAGAAUUUCAGAGAUUGCGUCCCGGCAAUGAUAGAUUGAGAGACAGAAGAAUACCCUUUAAAGGCCAUUCAGGAAGACGCUUCCCUAAAGCAAGCAAGGUGAGCAAAGUUAAGCUUUAGGGACUGUAUGUACCAGUUAUACUAAGUGUCACCCUCGCGAGUAGGGAAUUUGUUGUCCUUGGUACAGAAAUAUUACCGCGAGUCAAUUAAGGAUCAUCGAUGAUGUGGAAAGACGCCAAAUAUGAAGAGGUAAAACAUCUAUAGAUCCUCGUGGCUUCAACUCUUAGUACUCCCUUAAAAGGGGGAAUAUGGAGUGAUGUGGCAUUAAGUCGGAAUUAAGUGGUUCUAGUGACUAUGGAAUGGUAAAGAAAGAAUACGAUUAAAAAAAGGGGGGGAUGAGAUGGCACUUAUCCAAAUCCUACAGAUAUGCUACGAUACCAGAAUAUUGUGCAAGCACGGCGUCAAGGAGAGGAAGUAAGGGUUCCUGCCCGAGCUGUUAUUAAUAAAUAAGGAGCCAGUGCGAGACGUAAGUUAAGGCAAAGGAAAUAGCCCAAGAAAGAUUACGCAGAAUAUUGAGAUGUGAAUGGGCCAACGAGUAGUUAGUAAUUGAUCAGGAGGAGCCUAGUUAUGGCUAAACAGGAGAUUACAGACGAGUCAGCAGAUCGUGUAAGAUAAACAUAUUAAAACCCAAUAUAGUGAAUUCAGCCUCGCAGUUAUGACAUUGUGAUUAUUGGGAAAUAUUUAGAUAGGAGUUGGGGUAGUUAAAGGUACCAUAUGAGUGUUACAGAGAUAAAAGAGAGUGCCACCGAGAAGUCAGUCAAAAUAUCUAGUUUAGUAGCAACCCUACAAGCAAAAGGGGGCGGAAGUAAGUAACUAUGGAUAAUUAUAGGCAAGGAAGGACAUCAAAAAGGUCAGUCAAGUAUACAAUGUAAUAAGCUCACAGCUUUACAAGAGUCAGAGGAUCCUCCCUAAAUACUACAAUGAAAGACUAGUUGAGGAAGUAAGGAAGAAGGUUUCAACCUAAGCGAAGUAACGUAAAGAGGAAAUGGUUGUGUAACAAUAGUCUCACUAUAAAAUUGUAUGCACUCCAAAAGAAAGCGGCACCUACCAUGGCUAAUGAGUGGGGAGUAAAACCAAAAGUACUAUUCGAGACCAUAUGAGUUGCACAAAAAACAAAUUGGCACGCGUGAAAACUCAGAUAAGCUAAGUAUGAACGCAACAAGGGGUAAAAAGACCAGGAAAAGCAAUUGCUUACAUUUGAAGAAAGUUGAAAUGGAAAGAAAGAAAUUAUUCGAUUAAUAAUUAGCCGUAAAAGACUCUAGUAUGAGUUAAAAGAGUCCAGGUCAUAGACAAAGGACUGAAUCAUUAAAAGAUUGUAUCAUGGAUAUUCCAUAACGCCAAUGAAAGGCUAAAAUAAUAGCUAAUACCAGGACCCGCAGAUCAGAAGAUAGUUAAGACUACAUAAAAGUUGAUCAGAAGAAAGAGGAAACUAAAGAGUUACAUCAACGAAAUAUAUCAAUAAUCUGAUUAUUGGACCCAGAAAAUUAUAGGAACCGUGGUUGAGAACAUUGCAGGAUCACUCUUAAUAUCAAAGGUACAGGAGAGAAAGUAAAAGAACCAUAUUCUGCAACGACCAUACGAUAAAGCCAGUUGGAAAAGUACCAGCCUCAUAAAAAGUCUGUACGAAGCUCCCACCAGAUUGUGUAUACACCAGAGGUGCAAGUAUUAUAAUAGAGCCUCAAGUUGUGGAUGUGAAUUAUACCUAUGUGGAAGGGAGGUUAUGAAAGAGAUAGAAGAUGUGAGGCGAGAUUUUAAGGUAAGUAAGGUAAAGGUGGAAAACGUACGAGAUGCUCAAAAAAAGAAGGUUGUGAAUAGUUCAUACUUCAGAUAAAAGGCUAUAAGUGCUGGGAUUCAGUAUUCAGGAGUGAUAGCAGCAUCAUCAGUAGCAUAUCCUCCAGCCUAUGGUUUCUAGGUAUCGAGAGGUCUAGUUAAGAGAGUAAAAAGAGAAUUUGAGACGAUGUGAUGUUUCACUUGAAGUUCCAGAAUAACAUUAGGAAAUCUAUGGUGCAAGCAAGUUGAAGAAAAGUUGUGAGUAGUAUAAAUGACUAUGUGUAGGUCGCAAGCGAAGAACUUCAGUAUACCUAUGGAUACCCAGAGGAACAUCUUGUCAAGCUCUGUAUAUGUUUACAAACUGAGGGCUAGAGAUUUCCAAAAGCUGGAGGGAAAAGAGGAGAAGAGUCACAUAAGCGCACUUACAAGGUCAAAGUCUCACAUGUUGCGUGAUAAAAGGUAACAACAGUUACGAGAUUGGAAGAAUUCCGACCAUAAGUCAUGGUGUGAGAAAUAGGCCUAAAGGGGGGGGGGAUGCCCUGGCCGUUGGAAUUAAUCACAGAAUAGUUGCCUAGAUGGAAAAGAGAGUACUAAAGUUCCGGAAGACAUAUGUUAUGAAAAUGAUAAGUGCACAAGUCAACAUUCGAGGACGAAUGUUCCGAGGGGGGGGGGAAUGAUGUUACAUCCCGCAUUUUCGUAUGUUAAAGUUUCGUCGUAAGUUCGAAAAUGGGAUUAUUUUGAGAUUAUAAGCAUUAUGCUAUUUCAAACAAGUGAUGAGUAAAUUCGUGAAGGUGAGAGGGGAAGCAAGUCAAAGAAAAUGAAUUUUCGUCCAAGUUUGACAUGUUGAGAUAAAAUACGGCCCGAGCUAAAAUAUUUGAUAUUUUUGAAUUAGUGUCAUAUAAGGUACCACAUGGCCAUGAUAGUAAGGUGUAUAAGGUGUGUUAAAAGUGAGUAGUAUUUUAAACAAUUUGAAAUUAUUAUUAAUUAUCUGAAUAAAUAGUUAAUUAUUGAUUAAUGGGGGAAUUAACUAGUUAAUUAUUAAUUGGUGGUUGAUUAACUAAAGUCUUUGAAUAUAGACCAAGCCAAAAACGUAGCAGCCCCCAUUCCAAGAGUUGUGACUCCUAUAUUAGGAAUGAAAGGUGUCACACUUGAAGAACUUAAGUGACACUAAGCUAGACAUGUGGGGUCCACCUAAUGAUUAAGGAUAACUUUCCAAAUUCAACAUUUAUCUUCAAAUCUCUUAAGAAAAGAACACAGUAACGUUCUUUCUAAGAGAGCUCAACCAAGCUUUCCAUUUUCAUGUAACAUUAUUCCUAAACUCUUAAGAAGAGUUUCAUCAAGCUUUCUGUUGCACAACAUUGAUUCUAAAUCUCUUGAGAAAGGAUUUUGACAAAGAUGAUUUUGCAAUAGCAACGUUAUUGCUUUGAGUAUUUCAUACGGAUUGUUCCCUAUUUCAACCUCGCCGUUACGUGUUUCAUCGCAAUUAAUGUGUGUUAGAGGGAUUGUCAAGAGAAUCGACUCACGUAUGUUAAGGCUAUCCCUUCUUUCUUUUUGGCAUGAUCUAUACGACACGAACGAAACGAGCAAAUGCACAAUUUCCAUAAAUGACUCUAUUCAUAGAAAUACUAGAGAUGCUUAUGUUCUUGAUUCCCCGCGUGUCAUAUUAUUUUAUCAUCUGCUCAUGGGUCUCAAAAAUACAUAAGUUGAUAAAAGUUUAUUUCAUGAUAUUAAUUAGAGAUAUAAUGGUCUUAUGACGUACUAAGAGAUUUUAUUAACGUAUUUCAUAUGCAUUUCAUGCAUUUACACAUGCACAUUGACCCAUGACCAGAUGGUGUUAUAUACGUGUAUAUGUAUGUAUAUAUAUAUAUAUAUGGGAUAUGGGAAAGGUUAUGGCGUUAUAUACGUACCACCUCCUGAUCAGUUGGUAUACGUUGAUGAUUUGCCCACAGUGGCCGAAAUGAUAUGAUGGGAUGCCCUCAGAGGCUUGAUGAUGUUAUGAACGCAUAUACCUAUGCAUGGUAUGAUAUUUAUAUGCAUAUGCAUGACAUUAUAAAAAUGAAAUAAUUCACAGAGCUAUGCAAACGUACAUGUCGAGUCUUUUACUCCAUGUUUCUCUUAUGUCUAUUAUUUACUAAUUUUCAUUCCUUACAUACUCGUUACAUUAUUUGUAUUGACGUCCCUUUUUCUUGGGGAUGCUGCGUUUCAUGCCCGCAGGUCCCGAUAGACAAGUCGAGAGCCCUCCAAGUAGGCUAUCAGCUCAGCGGAAGAUGUUGGUGCGCUCCAUUUACUUCGGAGUUGCUUGUUUGGUUAGUAUGAUUUAGACGUGUAUUUCUUGGUAUGGAGGGACUCUGUUCCAACCUUUAUGACAUUUAUGUACUCUUAGAGGCUUGUAGACAUAUGUCGUGUACGUGAAAGAUUGUAUGGCCUUGCCGGCCUAUGUUUUGAGUUUAUAAAUGAUCAUGUUGGCCUAUUAGGCCCGUAUGUCACGCGUAUAUGAUGAUGUAAUAAGAAUGAUACGUUACGUUGGUACUCGGUUGAGUAAGGUAUUAGGUGCCCAUCGCGGCCCAUCGGUUUAGGUCGUGACAGGGCACUCGGCCCAUUUCUAUUCUACCGUAUCGUAUGAAACCGGCAGAGUUGAAGGAACAACUUUAGGAACUCCUUGAUAAGGGGUUUAUUCGGCCUAGUGUGUCACCUUGGGGUGCAUCGGUUUUAUUUAUAAAGAAGAAGGAUGGUUCCAUGAGGAUUUGCAUUGAUUACAGGCAGUUGAACAAGGUCACAGUCAAGAACACGUAUCCUUUGCCUCAUAUUGAUGAUUUAUUUGACCAGCUUCAGGGAGGGAGGGUGUUCUCCAAGAUUUAUUUGAGGUAUGGUUAUCACCAGCUGAAGAUUCGGGAUUCGGAUAUUCUUAAGACAUUUUUCAGGACCCGUUAUGGCCAUUAUGAGUUCUUGGUGAUGUCUUUUGGGCUGACCAAUGCCCCAGCAACGUUCAUGCAUUUGAUGAACAAUGUAUUCCGGUCCUAUUUGGACUCAUUUAUUAUUGUAUUCAUUGAUGACAUCCUGGUAUACUCUCGUACCCAGGAGGAGCAUGCUCAACAUUUGCGGGUUAUAUUGCAGAGAUUGAGGAAGGAAAAGCUUUAUGCAAAUUUCUCCAAGUGUGAGUUUUUUCUCGGUUCAGUAGCAUUCUUGGGGCACGUGGUGUCCAGUGAGGGUAUUCAGGUGGAUUCGAAGAAGAUAGAGGCAGUGUAAAGUUGGCCUAGACCGUUCUCAGCCACGGAAAUUAGGAGAUUUCUUGGUUUGGCGGGUUAUUACCGUCACUUUGUGGAGGGAUUUUCAUCUAUUGCAUCGCUCUUGACCAAAUUGACCCAGAAGGGUGCUCCAUUCAGGUGGUCAGAUGAGUGAGAGGAGAGCUUUCAGAACCUCAAGACUUCUUUGACCACAACUCCAGUGUUAGUUCUGCCAUCAGCUUCAGGUUCUUACACAGUGUAAUGUGAUGCCUCGAGGGUAGGUAUAGGAUGUGUUCUGAUGCAGGAGGGUAGGGUGAUUGCCUAUGCCUCGCGCCAGUUGAAGACUCAUGAGAAGAACUAUCCUGUCCAUGAUCUUGAGUUAGCAUCCAUUGUUCACGCCUUGAAGAUUUGGCGUCAUUAUUUGUAAGGGGUUCAUUGUGAGAUCUAUACUAAUCACCAGAGUUUGCAGAAUCUAUUAAAGUAGAAGGAUCUUAACUUGCGUCAGCGGAGAUGGUUAGAGCUUCUUAAGGACUACGAUAUCACUAUUUUGUACCAUCCGGGAAAGGCCAAUAUGGUGGCCGAUGCUUUGAGUCGCCGGACAUAGAGUUUGGGAAGUUUAGCAUUUCUCCCAGCAGAAGAGAGACCCUUGGCAUUGGAUGUUCAGGCCUUAGUGGGCUAGCUUGUCAGAUUGGAUAUUUCGGAGCCGAGUCGAGUAUUGGCUUGUGUGGUCUCCAGGUCUUCUCUUUAUGAUCGUAUCUGGGAGCGUCAGUAUAAUGAAUCUCACCUGCUUGCUCUUUAGGAUAGGGUUCAGCGAGGUGAUGCUAGGGAUGUGGCCAUUGGUGAUGACAGUGUGUUGAGGAUGCAGGGCCGGAUAUGUGUGCCUAAUGUAGAUGGGAUCAGGGAGUUGAUUCUUGAGGAGGCCCACAGCUCGCGGUAUUCCAUCCAUCCGGGUGCUGCGAAGAUGUACCGGGAUUUGAGGAAGCACUAUUGGUGGAGGCGAUUGAAGAAGGAUAUAGUUGGGUUUGUGGCUCGGUGUCUCAACUAUCAGCAAGUUAAGUAUGAGCAUCAGAGACCGAGUGGCUUGAUUCAGAGGUUAGAGAUCCUAGAGUGGAAGUGGGAGCGGAUCACCAUGGACUUCGUAGCUGGGCUCCCACGGACUUCGAGGAAGUUCGAUGUUAUUUGGGUGAUUGUGGAUCAGCUGACCAAGUUCGCGCACUUCAUUCCAGUUGGUACUACUUACACUUCAGAGCGGUUGGCCGAGAUUUAUAUCCGAGAGGUUGUUCGCCUGCAUGGUAUUCCAGUUUCCAUCAUUUCAGUUAGAGGUACUCAGUUUGUAUCACCGUUUUGGAGGGUCGUGCAGCGAGAGUUGGGUACUUAGGUUGAGUUGAGCCAUCAUUUCACCCUCAGACAGACGGGCAGUCCGAGCGCACUAUUCAGAUAUUGGAGGACAUGUUGCGCGCUUGUGUCAUUGACUUUGGGUGUUCAUGGGACCAGUUCUUGCCGCUCGUGGAGUUUGCAUAUAACAAUAGUUAUCAGUCGAGUAUUCAUAUGGCUCCGUACGAGGCUUUAUAUGGGAGGAGGUGUAGAUCUUUGGUAGGAUGGUUUGAGUCGGGUGAGGCUAGGCUAUUGGGUACAUACUUGGUCCAGGAUGUAUUAGCUAAGGCGAAAUUAAUUCAGGAGCGUCUUCAUACGGCGUAGUCUAGGCAGAAGAGCUACACGGACCGGAAGGUCCGUGAUGUGUUGUUUAUGGUUGGGGAGAAGGUAUUGCUGAAGGUAUCACCCAUGAAGGGUAUUAUGAGGUUUGGGAAGAGGGGCAAGUUGAUCCCCCGGUUCAUUGGGCCUUUUGAGGUGCUUCAGAGGAUAGGGAGGUGGCUUAUAAGCUUGCCUUGCCAACCAGCUUGUCGUGUGUGCAUCCAGUGUUUCAUGUUUCCAUACUACGGAAGUACGUUGACGAUCCAUCCUAUGUUUUAGAAUUCAACACGGUUCAGUUGGAGGGUGAUAUGACUUAUGAUGUGGAGCCGGUGGCCAUUUUGGAUCGGUAGGUUCGGAAGUUGAGGUCAAAGGACAUAGUUUCGGUGAAGGUGCAGUGGAGAGGUCAGCCUGUGGAGGAGGCCACCUGGGAGACCGAGCGGGAGAUGCGGAGCAUAUAUCCACACAUAUUUAAGACUCUAGGUAUGAUUCUAGACCCGUUCGAGUACGAACGUUUGUUUAAAAGGGGGAGUAUGUAACGACUCGACCGAUCGUUUAGAGAAUUAUAGCCUCAUUUUCCCUAUUUCUGCUUCCUUUUAUGCUUUCCAACUAUAUUAUGGUAUACCGGGUUAGUUGGUUCGGGUCCGGAGUGGUUUCGGAGUGGAUUGAGACACUUAGUCUCUAAAGUAAAAGAUUAAGUUGGAAAAGUCAACCGGAUGUUGAUUUAUGUGUAAACGAUCUCGGAUUUGAAUUUUGAUAGUUCCGUUAGCUCCGUUAGGUGAUUUUGUACUUAGGAGUGCAUCCAGAAUGUGAUUUGGAGGCCCGUAGUGGAAUUAGGCUUGAAUUGGCAAAAGUUGGAAAUUUGGCAAUUUCGGUCGGCAGUGGAAAAUUUGAUAUCAGGGUAGGAAUGGAUUUCCGGAAAAUGGAGUAGGUUCGUGGUGUCAUUUGUGACGUGUGUGUAAAAUUUGAGGUCAUUCGAACGUUGUUUGGUAGGUUUCAGCGUCGUUUGCAGAAUUUGGGAAGUUAUAAUUCUUAGGCUUGAAUCUGAGGGUAAUUUGGUAUUUUGAUGUUGUUUUGAGUGAUUUGAUGAUUUGUCUAAGUUUGUAUGUUGAUAUAUGACUUGUCGGUAUGUUUGGUUGAGGUCCUGAGGGCCUCGGGGUGAGUCCGGGUGGUUAAUAAAUUGUUUGAAGUUGGAAAAAUAUAGUUCAAGCUGCUGUUACUGGUAUUUCCGCACCUGCGGUGGGGGAGCCGCAAGUGCGAGGUCGCUGGUGCACUUGGUGAGCCGAAGAUACGGACAUAGAGGACCUGGGCUGGAACUGCAAGUGCGUAAGAUUGGUCGCAUCUGCGAGCCCGAAGAUGCUAGGCUGAUUCGCAGAUGCGGAAGUGAGGAGGACUGGCAGUGGCCGCAGGUGCAAGGUCUUUUCCGCACCUGCGAGGUCGCAGAAGCGGAUAUAGAACGCAAGUGCGGAUAUGGGCACUUAAGUGAUUUUACGCAGAUGCAGAGAUUUGUGCGCAAAAGUGGCUCCGCUGGUGCGCAUUGUUUGAGCCGCAGGUGCGAAAACCUGGGAAGAACCUAUAGAUAGAAGACAUGGCGAAUUUUUGUCCAUUUCCUCCAUUUUCAAGUCGGACCUUGGAGAUUUUGGAGUGAGUUUUGAAGGGUAUUCAAGGAUAUUCACUGAGGUAAGUUGCUUGAGCUCUAUUAUCAUUAGCUAUGGUCUUUUCCCAUUAAUUUUCCACCUAAUUAGUAGGAUUUUUGAAAUGAAAUAAGGGGUUAGGGCUUGGGAUUUUGGAGAGAGUAAUUUGAGGAUUUGAGGGACCAAAUGAUGUCGGAUUUUGAUAAAUUUAGUAUGGGUAGACUCGUGAGUGAAUGGGCUUCGGGUUUUGUGACUUUUGUCGUAUUUCGAGACGUGGGCCCGGGGGGCGGGUUUGAGUGAAUUUCGGGAUUUGGCCUAUAAAUUGGUAUUUUCCUUGUGGGAUUCUUUCCUUUAGCUCAUAUUGAUCGUAUUUUAUUGCUUGUGGCUAGAUUCGGGUCAUUUGAAGGCCGGUUCGAGAGGAAAGGGUAUUUCAGAGUAGGAGUUCUACGUUGUUGAAGUAAGUAACAGUUUUAAAUCUGGUCUUGAGGGUAUGAAACCCGGAGUUUGGUAUUAUGUGACUAUUUGGAAGUGACACCCAUGCUAGGUGACGGGCGUAUGGGUGUACGCCGUGAGGGAUUGAGACUUGGUCCGUCCCGAGAGACUGGGAAGUCUAAUAGCCUUUAUUUGUGUUUAUAUAUAUUCCUGUCUACUAGAACUUGAUUGCCUUUCAUGUUAGAGAUCAUGCUUAGACUAUAUUCCUGCUCAUGAUAGUUAUAUUCAGUCAUAGUGAUUCUUGUACAUGUUUACCUCAGUCUCUGUUAUUUUUCCCUAAUGAUAUACUGUAACACUUUGAUUUGGGAUAUUUUCCCUUUCUAUAUUGAGAGCUAUAAGACUAGAGAGAUUCAUGACUGAGUAAGGCCGAAGGCCUAGUUGUGAGGUAUUGUUCUAUGUUACGUGAGUUGUCUGUGCAGCACGUGAGUUGUCCGUGCAGAUCCUUGUAUUUAUACUAGGGCACGUGAGUUGUCUUGUAACACGUGAGUUGUCCGUGCAGAUCCAGAUAUUUAUACUAUGGCACAUGAGUUGUCCGUGCAACAAGUGAGUUGUCCAUGCAGAUUAUAGCGCUUGGGCUGCAGGAGCCCCUCAUGAGUCUGAACACCCCGAGUGAGCGCAGGUACCUAUUGAGCGUGUGCAUUGAGGGCUGAGAGUUGAGUGCCGAGUUAUUGAGGGUUUGAGUGAUUGUUUCCCUGAUAGGUUGUACUUGCUUUUCAAUUGUUGAUGCACUUAGUUCUAUCUGUCAUUUUUGUGAAAUUUCUGAAAGUUUCUAUAUCCGGAGUACCUGCACAUUAACUUUAUAAAACUGAUUUGACUUAAAUUGCCUAAGUUGAAAGUAUGUCUAUUCUUUGCUGGAAUUAUUGAAAAUGAACUGUACUGUAUAGCUCGACACUACUUUUCACUUCCUUAUUUAUUUAUGUUACUUGCUGAGUUGGUUGUACUCAUGCUACACCCUGCAUUUCAUGUGCAGAUCCAGGUGUGUUGGAUCACGUAGGUCAUUGAGUUCGGGCGCGAUCGACUACCGGAGACUAGUUAUAUAUUUCUUUGUCUUGUAUUGAUACUUAGACACUAGUUUAUUAGUUUGGUUGUCUAGAUGCUUAUGACUUAGUGAUACCCCG
rnacentral:lncRNA from 1 species